UUCUAUGAGUGAUGGAAUUAACAUAAUAUGUUAACAUUAACAAUCUUACAAGCGGACGGUGAGGUCGCGUUUUGGGUGCGUUUCGUUUUGCAUAAUAUUAAUGUGGAUUUGUGCUUCACAGUUUAUAAUAAUAACCGUAAAUACGCUGAAGAGAAAAACGCUGCUCGUGACGUCGACAACAGAAUCCCCAA